AUUGAACGCUGGCGGCAGGCCUAACACAUGCGAGUCGAGCGGAUGAAGGGAGCUUGCUCCUGGAUUCAGCGGCGGACGGGUGAGUAAUGCCUAGGAAUCUGCCUGGUAGUGGGGGAUAACGUCCGGAAACGGGCGCUAAUACCGCAUACGUCCUGAGGGAGAAAGUGGGGGAUCUUCGGACCUCACGCUAUCAGAUGAGCCUAGGUCGGAUUAGCUAGUUGGUGGGGUAAAGGCCUACCAAGGCGACGAUCCGUAACUGUCUGAGAGGAUGAUCAGUCACACUGGAACUGAGACACGGUCCAGACUCCUACGGGAGGCAGCAGUGGGGAAUAUUGGACAAUGGGCGAAAGCCUGAUCCAGCCAUGCCGCGUGUGUGAAGAAGGUCUUCGGAUUGUAAAGCACUUUAAGUUGGGAGGAAGGGCAGUAAGUUAAUACCUUGCUGUUUUGACGUUACCAACAGAAUAAGCACCGGCUAACCUCGUG
rnacentral:rRNA from 1 species